rnacentral:lncRNA from 1 species
CCAGACUGCCUGGCAGCUCUUUAGAAAGUUGUGUGACGUAUGAACCAGUUCUUCCCUAUAUGAGAGUGUACCGUACAUCGCAGGCUGUCCAGCAUCGACCCCACUGAUGGAUGCUAGUAGUCCUCCCCGCCAGCACUCAACAUUGUGACAGUCAAAAACAUCCUCUCUACAUUUUCAAUGCCCCUGUUGGGGUAGCAGGACUCCCACUGAGAGACCCCAGUAGAGAUGGUCCCCAAGCAUGCUAACCAUGAAGCAGUGAUAUCGCACAGCACCUGCUUCCAGCAGCCCGGAGCCAAGGGGCAAAAUGGAAAGAGUCAGCAUUUCUCUUUUAGGUUCUCUGCCUCUCUAGUGUGAAGACUGAAGAAACCUAAUCCUAGGUGCUGCCACUGGGACAAACAAGAAGCACCAGACACAGUGCUGUUUUAGGGUGGGGCAGAAUUAUGCUGAGGGAAAAGUUAUUAUCACUCUUUAAGGCCAAGGAAACCACAAUUUUUAAAGAAGCUUCUAGAAAUUCUACCCAGUAGAAAAUAAAGAUAAACUUCUGUA